rnacentral:rRNA from 1 species
GGAUAACCUACCCUUAGGACUGGGAUAACCCUGGGAAACUGGGGAUAAUACUAGAUAGGCAAUUUUUCCUGGAAUGGUUUUUUGUUUAAAUGUUUUUUCGCCUAAGGAUGGGUCUGCGGCCGAUUAGGUAGUUGGUUAGGUAACGGCUUACCAAGCCAUUGAUCGGUACGGGUUGUGAGAGCAAGAGCCCGGAGAUGGAACCUGAGACAAGGUUCCAGGCCCUACGGGGUGCAGCAGGCGCGAAACCUCCGCAAUGUGAGAAAUCGCGACGGGGGGAUCCCAAGUGCCAUUCUUAACGGGAUGGCUUUUCAUUAGUGUAAAGAGCUUUUGGAAUAAGGGCUGGGCAAGACCGGUGCCAGCCGCCGCGGUAACACCGGCAGCUCUAGUGGUAGCAGUUUUUAUUGGGCCUAAAGCGUCCGUAGCCGGUUUAAUAAGUCUCUGGUGAAAUCCUGUAGCUUAACUGUGGGAAUUGCUGGAGAUACUAUUAGACUUGAGACCGGGAGAGGUUAGAGGUACUCCCAGGGUAGAGGUGAAAUUCUGUAAUCCUGGGAGGACCGCCUGUUGCGAAGGCGUCUAACUGGAACGGUUCUGACGGUGAGGGACGAAAGUUAGGGGCGCGAACCGGAUUAGAUACCCGGGUAGUCCUAACUGUAAACGAUGCGGACUUGGUGUUGGGGUGGCUUUGAGCUGUUCCAGUGCCGAAGGGAAGCUGUUAAGUCCGCCGCCUGGGAAGUACGGUCGCAAGACUGAAACUUAA